rnacentral:rRNA from 1 species
UACGGAGGGUGCGAGCGUUGUCCGGAAUCAUUGGGCGUAAAGGGCGCGUAGGUGGCCUGGUAAGCGUGCGGUGAAAGCCUGGGGCUCAACCCCGGGUCUGCCGUGCGAACUGCUAGGCUUGAGCACUGUAGAGGCAGGCGGAAUUCCGGGUGUAGCGGUGGAAUGCGUAGAGAGUCCGGAAGAACACCGGUGGCGAAGGCGGCCUGCUGGGCAGUUGCUGACAC